rnacentral:rRNA from 1 species
UCGAAAAUUUUUCACAAUGGGGGAAACCCUGAUGGAGCGACGCCGCGUGGGGGAUGAAUGGCUUCGGCCCGUAAACCCCUGUCAUUUGCGAGCAAAGCGCAUUAUUUAAAAGAUGAUGUGUUGACAGUAGCGGAAGAGGAAGGGACGGCUAACUCUGUGCCAGCAGCCGCGGUAAUACAGAGGUCCCGAGCGUUGUUCGGAUUCACUGGGCGUAAAGGGUGCGUAGGUGGUGAGGUGUGUCGGAUGUGAAAUCUCGGAGCUCAACUCCGAAACUGCAUUGGAAACUAACUUGCUGGAGGGUUGGAGGGGGGACUGGAAUACUUGGUGUAGCAGUGAAAUGCGUAGAUAUCAAGUGGAACACCAGUGGCGAAGGCGAGUCCCUGGACAACUCCUGACACUGAGGCACGAAAGCUAGGGGAGCAAACAG